AGGAGCCCCGAGGCCUGAGUGCAGCCUGGUGGCUGAGCUCUCCCUGACGUUCUGCCCCUCCACACGGCGGAAAGGGACCCAGCGCCCAACGCACACUGCUGCUUACCCAGCGGUGCAAGUAUCCAGGAUCUGGUCUUAGAGCAUCCCGGCAACCCCAAAGAAACCUGGCCCCUCGUCCCGCCUCCUCCCAGCCCUGGGUGCAGCUCUACGUCCUAUCCCUACAGAUCUGGCUGUUCUGGACGUUUCAAGGAAAAGGAAUUAUACAACAAGUAGUCUUUGGCGCUGGCUUUUUUCACAGCGUAAUGCUUGCAAGUUGAUGAACAAGAGCUGUCUCCACCUUGGCUCUUCUGAGUGCAGCUGUGUGAGCUCCAUGCAGAGGUCUUCACAUGGAGAGCCUUCCUGUCUCUGGUCUUGCUGGGUCACGAAGUUACGUCAGCUGAGUUCCACCUUACAGUCCUGCUGCCUCAGCCUCCCAAGGUGUUGGGAUGACAGGCCAGAUGGGGGAGCUGGGACCAGUGAAGGGUGAGCUGGCUGCCCAAGGUCACGCAGAAAGUGAGCAGCAGGGCUGGGACUCAGGCCUGGGUAACCUGACCUCAAGAUCCACACUCUUAACUAUUGCACCGCACCCUCUCUCCACGAUGAACGCCUGAGACUCUCUGUCAUUCCUGCCUGGACUCAGCAUGACUCAGCCUUCCCACUGUGGUCAAUAGUGUGAACUCUCACAAUUGCCAGCGUUCUGGUGGCAAAGAUCCCAAGUGACACUGCGGCAAUCUGCUGCCCUUUAGGUGAGACUGAAAAUGAAAAGUGUUUCCCAUCGGCAGUCAUUUAAUUAAAGAAAUCCAAUUAAAACUACAA